GUGAAUCAUCGAAUCUUUGAACACAAAUUGCACUCCCUGGUAUUCCGGGGAGUAUGCCUGUUUGAGGGUCGGUAGAAUAAAAAAUCGAGGCGUCGCUCUUUUUUUUAAGGGGGAUCGCGUCGGAAUUGAGCCGUCUUUCAAAUGUUAAUUCAUUUCAAAGUGGCUUAAAUUUCAUCUAUCCGGUACUAUUAAAGCGUAUUUAAGAUCAAUUUUGAUUAAGAACGCGCGAUGAACGUACUAUCUCAUGUAGUACGUUUGACCUUGGUCGUCAGUAUCAUUCGUAUACGAUACUCAAACUUUU
rnacentral:misc_RNA from 1 species